CCUUCCUCAUGCCAUGUUCCUUUUCUAGAACUCAAAGCAUUGCACUUGAGUGUCAGACCGCCUGAGUCCACAUGCAGGAUGAAUUUGGACCUCUCCAAGCUGCAGUCCUCCUCAGCAGUUAAGACGGGCUUAUAGUGGGAACUAUACAAUCUUCGGCCGGCCUCAUUUCUGCUGUUGGCUUCUAGGGAGCCCAGAGCAAGGAGAAAGACCAGGAGGAGGAGAAUACCUAUUUAACAGGACUGCUUGAGACAACUGAUACACUGCCCCAAAAGUCAUGUGCUAACAUGAUUUUUUUCCCCUCCCAAUACUUGUAUCUUAUCUUUUAAACUUUGU